UCAGAACGAACGCUGGCGGCAGGCCUAACACAUGCAAGUCGAAMCGGAUCCUUCGGGAUUAGUGGCAGACGGGUGAGUAACGCGUGGGAAGCUACCUUGUGGUAGGGAACAACAGUUGGAAACGACUGCUAAUACCCUAUGAGCCCUAUGGGGGAAAGAUUUAUCGCCAUGAGAUGUGCCCGCGUUAGAUUAGCUAGUUGGUAAGGUAAUGGCUUACCAAGGCGACGAUCUAUAGCUGGUCUGAGAGGAUGAUCAGCCACACUGGGACUGAGACACGGCCCAGACUCCUACGGGAGGCAGCAGUGGGGAAUAUUGGACAAUGGGGGCAACCCUGAUCCAGCCAUGCCGCGUGAGUGAUGACGGCCUUAGGGUUGUAAAGCUCUUUCAGCAGUGAAGAUAAUGACAUUAACUGCAGAAGAAGCCCCGGCUAACUUCGUGCCAGCAGCCGCGGUAAUACGAAGGGGGCUAGCGUUGUUCGGAAUCACUGGGCGUAAAGCGUACGUAGGCGGACUGAUCAGUCAGGGGUGAAAUCCCGGGGCUCAACCCCGGAACUGCCUUUGAUACUGUCAGUCUUGAGAUCGAGAGAGGUGAGUGGAACUCCGAGUGUAGAGGUGAAAUUCGUAGAUAUUCGGAAGAACACCAGUGGCGAAGGCGGCUCACUGGCUCGAUACU
rnacentral:rRNA from 1 species